GUACCCACAAUUACUUGGAUAACUGUGGUAAUUCUAGAGCUAAUACAUGCAAACAGAGCUCCGACCGGAGACGGAAGGAGUGCUUUUAUUAGAUCAAAACCAAUCGGUGGCGAGUUCGCUCGUCAUCGUACAACUUGGUGACUCUGAAUAACUUUACGCUGAUCGCACGGUCUCGCACCGGCGACGCAUCUUUCAAAUGUCUGCCUUAUCAACUGUCGAUGGUAGGUUCUGCGCCUACCAUGGUUGUAACGGGUAACGGGGAAUCAGGGUUCGAUUCCGGAGAGGGAGCCUGAGAAACGGCUACCACAUCCAAGGAAGGCAGCAGGCGCGCAAAUUACCCACUCCCGGCACGGGGAGGUAGUGACGAAAAAUAACGAUACGGG
rnacentral:rRNA from 20 species